ACUCCUACGGGAGGCAGCAGUGGGGGAUAUUGCACAAUGGAGGGAACUCUGAUGCAGCGACGCCGCGUGAGUGAAGAAGUACUUCGGUAUGUAAAGCUCUGUCAGCAGGGAAGAAAGGCCCCGUAAGGGGAGAUGACGGUACCUGAAGAAGAAGCCCCGGCUAAUUACGUGCCAGCAGCCGCGGUAAUU
rnacentral:rRNA from 1 species